CUACGGGCUGCAGCAGUGGGGAAUAUUGGACAAUGGGCGCAAGCCUGAUCCAGCAAUACCGCGUGUGUGAAGAAGGCCUGCGGGUUGUAAAGCACUUUCAAUUGUGAAGAAAAGCGAGGGCUUAAUACGCUCUUGUCUUGACGUUAACUUUAGAAGAAGCACCGGCUAAGUCUGUGCCAGCAGCCGCGGUAAUACAGAGGGUGCGAGCGUUAAUCGGAAUUACUGGGCGUAAAGCGUACGUAGGCGGUUUAGUAAGUCAGAUGUGAAAGCCCUGGGCUCAACCUGGGAACUGCAUUUGAAACUGCUAGACUAGAGUGUGGUAGAGGGAAGUGGAAUUCCGGGUGUAGCGGUGAAAUGCGUAGAUAUCCGGAGGAACACCAGUGGCGAAGGCGACUUCCUGGACCAACACUGACGCUGAGGUACGAAAGCGUGGGUAGCAAACAGGAUUAGAUACCCCUGUAGUC
rnacentral:rRNA from 1 species